UAAGGAAUAUUGGACAAUGGUCGCAAGACUGAUCCAGCCAUGCCGCGUGCAGGAAGACGGCCCUAUGGGUUGUAAACUGCUUUUGUACCAGAGAAAACCUAUCUACGUGUAGAUAGCUGAUAGUAUGGUAAGAAUAAGCAUCGGCUAACUUCGUGCCAGCAGCCGCGGUAAGACGAAGGAUGCAAGCGUUAUCCGGAUUCAUUGGGUUUAAAGGGUGCGUAGGCGGGCUUGUAAGUCAGUGGUGAAAUCUCUCAGCUUAACUGAGAAACUGCCAUUGAUACUGCAGGCCUAGAGUAUAGAUGACGUUGGCGGAAUAUGACAUGUAGUGGUGAAAUACUUAGAUAUGUCAUAGAACACCGAUUGCGAAGGCAGCUUACUACAUAUAAAUUGACGCUGAGGCACGAAAGCGUGGGAUCAAAC
rnacentral:rRNA from 1 species